rnacentral:rRNA from 1 species
UACGAAGGGUGCAAGCGUUAUCCGGAGUUACUGGGCGUAAAGGGCGUGUAGGUGGUUUCGUAAGUCUGGCGUGAAAUAUCUCGGCUUAACCGAGGCAGGUCGUCGGAUACUGCGGAACUAGAGGACGGUAGAGGCGUGUGGAAUUCCGGGUGUAGUGGUGAAAUGCGUAGAGAUCCGGAGGAACACCAGUGGCGAAGGCGACACGCUGGGCCGUACCUGACACUGAUGCGCGACAGCAUGGGGAGCAAACAGG